rnacentral:rRNA from 1 species
GACGAACGCUGGCGGCGUGCUUAACACAUGCAAGUCGAACGGAAAGGCCCUGCUUUUGUGGGGUGCUCGAGUGGCGAACGGGUGAGUAACACGUGAGUAACCUGCCCUUGACUUUGGGAUAACUUCAGGAAACUGGGGCUAAUACCGGAUAGGAGCUCCUGCUGCAUGGUGGGGGUUGGAAAGUUUCGGCGGUUGGGGAUGGACUCGCGGCUUAUCAGCUUGUUGGUGGGGUAGUGGCUUACCAAGGCUUUGACGGGUAGCCGGCCUGAGAGGGUGACCGGCCACAUUGGGACUGAGAUACGGCCCAGAAUCCUACGGGAGGCAGCAGUGGGGAAUAUUGCAGAAUGGGCGGAAGCCUGAUGCAGCAACGCCGCGUGCGGGAUGACGGCCUUCGGGUUGUAAACCGCUGUCGCCUGUGACGAAGCGUGAGUGACGGUAAUGGGUAAAGAAGCACCGGCUAACUACGUG